GCUUGUCUCAAAGAUUAAGCCAUGCAUGUCUAAGUAUAAGCAAUUAUACGGCGAAACUUGCGAAUGGCUCAUUAUAUAAGUUAUCGUUUAUUUGAUAGUACCUUACUACUUGGAUAACCGUGGUAAUUCUAGAGCUAAUACAUGCUAAAAAUCCCGACUUCGGAAGGGAUGUAUUUAUUAGAUUAAAAACCAAUGCCCUUCGGGGCUCUCUGGUGAUUCAUGAUAACUUCUCGAAUCGCAUGGCCUUGCGCCGGCGAUGGUUCAUUCAAAUUUCUUCCCUAUCAACUUUCGAUGUUUGGGUAUUGGCCAAACAUGGUUGCAACGGGUAACGGAGGGUUAGGGCUCGACCCCGGAGAAGGAGCCUGAGAAACGGCUACUACAUCCAAGGAAGGCAGCAGGCGCGCAAAUUACCCAAUCCCGACACGGGGAGGUAGUGACAAUAAAUACUGAUACAGGGCUCUUUUGGGUCUUGUAAUUGGAAUGAGUACAAAUUUAAAUCCCUUAACGAGGAACAAUUGGAGGGCAA
rnacentral:rRNA from 2 species